GUGGGGAAUCUUCCGCAAUGGACGAAAGUCUGACGGAGCAACGCCGCGUGAACGAUGACGGCCUUCGGGUUGUAAAGUUCUGUUAUACGGGACGAAUGGCGUAGCGGUCAAUACCCGUUACGAGUGACGGUACCGUAAGAGAAAGCCACGGCUAACUACGUGCCAGCAGCCGCGGUAAUACGUAGGUGGCAAGCGUUGUCCGGAAUUAUUGGGCGUAAAGGGCGCGCAGGCGGCGUCGUAAGUCGGUCUUAAAAGUGCGGGGCUUAACCCCGUGAGGGGACCGAAACUGCGAUGCUAGAGUAUCGGAGAGGAAAGCGGAAUUCCUAGUGUAGCGGUGAAAUGCGUAGAUAUUAGGAGGAACACCAGUGGCGAAAGCGGCUUUCUGGACGACAACUGACGCUGAGGCGCGAAAGCCAGGGGAGCAAACGGGAUUAGAUACCCCAGUAGUCC
rnacentral:rRNA from 1 species